rnacentral:rRNA from 1 species
AGUUUUUAACUCAAGUGGCGGACGGGUGAGUAACACGUAAGAAUUUGCCUUUAGGAGGGGGACAACAACUGGAAACGGUUGCUAAUACCCCAUAUGCUUUCGAGUGAAAUGGUUUUUCCGCCUAAAGAGAAGCUUGCGGCUGAUUAGCUUGUUGGUAAGGUAAUGGCUUACCAAGGCGACGAUCAGUAUCUGGUUUGAGAGGACGAUCAGACACACUGGAACUGAGACACGGUCCAG